CCUACGGGUGGCAGCAGUGAGGAAUAUUGGUCAAUGGGCGGAAGCCUGAACCAGCCAAGUAGCGUGCAGGAUGACGGCCCUACGGGUUGUAAACUGCUUUUAUACGGGAAUAACGCGCCUUACGUGUAGGGCUUUGCAUGUACCGUAUGAAUAAGGACCGGCUAAUUCCGUGCCAGCAGCCGCGGUAAUACGGAAGUUCCGGGCGUUAUCCGGAUUUAUUGGGUUUAAAGGGAGCGUAGGCAGUAUGUCAAGCUUGCUGUGAAAUGUCCGGGCUCAACCCGGGCCUUGCAGCGCGUACUGGCGUGCGUGAGUCCGCGGAAGGCAGGCGGAAUGCGUCGGGUAGCGGUGAAAUGCUUAGAUAUCACGAAGAACCCCGAUUGCGAAGGCAGCUUGCUGCAGCGGAACUGACGCUGAUGCUCGAAAGCGCGGGUAUCGAACAGGAUUAGAUACCCCAGUAGUC
rnacentral:rRNA from 1 species